rnacentral:rRNA from 1 species
GAUCUAGUGGCGCACGGGUGCGUAACGCGUGGGAAUCUGCCCUUGGGCGGAAUAACAGUUAGAAAUGACUGCUAAUACCGGAUGAAGUCUACGGACCAAAGAUUUCGCCCAGGGAUGAGCCCGCGUAGGAUUAGCUAGUUGGUGGGGUAAAGGCCUACCAAGGACGAUCCUUAGCUGGUCUGAGAGGAUGAUCAGCCACACUGGGACUGAGACACGGCCCACUCCUACGGGAGGCAGCAGUGGGGAAUAUUGGACAAUGGGGGCAACCCUGAUCCAGCAUGCCGCGUGAGUGAUGAAGGCCUUCGGGUCGUAAAGCUCUUUUACCCGGGAUGAUAAUCAGUACCGGGAGAAUAAGCCCCGGCUAACUCCGUGCCAGCAGCCGCGGUAAUACGGAGGGCUAGCGUUGUUUUGGAAUUACUGGGCGUAAAAGCGCACGUAGGCGGUUACUCAAGUGAGGUGAAAGCCCGGGGCUCAACCCCGGAACUGCCUUUGAAACUAGGUGACUGGAAUCGGAGAGGCGAGUGGAAUUCCGAGUGUAGAGGUGAAAUUCGUAGAUAUUCGGAAGAACAAGUGGCGAAGGCGACUCGCUGGACAAGUAUUGACGCUGAGGUGCGAAAGCGUGGGGAG